CGGGCUAAACCCGCGUACAUGCCACCGGGGCAUCCCGGAGGCAGGAAAGGCUUCGGCCGGACAGGGAUGGGCAUGCGGCGCAUUAGGCAGUAGGCGGGGUAACGGCCCACCUAACCGACGAUGCGUAGGGGUUCUGAGAGGAAGGUCCCCCACACUGGUACUGAGACACGGACCAGACUCCUACGGGAGGCAGCAGUGAGGAAUAUUGGUCAAUGGUCGGGAGACUGAACCAGCCAAGCCGCGUGAGGGAUGAAGGUACAGAGUAUCGUAAACCUCUUUUGUCAGGGAACAAAGGCGGGGACGUGUCCCCGGAUGAGUGUACCUGAAGAAAAAGCAUCGGCUAACUCCGUGCCAGCAGCCGCGGUAAUACGGAGGAUGCGAGCGUUAUCCGGAUUUAUUGGGUUUAAAGGGUGCGCAGGCGGUCUGUUAAGUCAGCGGUCAAAGCCCGGGGCUCAACCCCGGCCCGCCGUUGAAACUGGCAGUCUCGAGUUGGAGAGAAGUAUGCGGAAUGCGCGGUGUAGCGGUGAAAUGCAUAGAUAUCGCGCAGAACUCCGAUUGCGAAGGCAGCAUGCCGGCUCCACACUGACGCUGAGGCACGAAAGCGUGGGUAUCGAACAGGAUUAGAUACCCCGGUAGUCCACGCAGUAAACGA
rnacentral:rRNA from 1 species